rnacentral:misc_RNA from 1 species
GUUUAAGGGUCUUGCAAAAGAGCAGACCCAUCAAUCCCGUUUAUUAUGAGAAGAAUUCAGUUGGGACAGAGGUUUUGCAAGAAAGUACAUUGUAGCUACAUGCCGAAAAUGUGCAGUGAAAAAAAUUGCAAACCAUAUUGCGCUUCUCUUGUAGAACCAGGAAAUAGAGUUGCUGAGAAAUACAAUCAUAUCAUUUGUCCUCUGUUUUUGGAAGACCCUUAAACUUGAAAUUAUCUGCAUAUGACUUGACCUU